rnacentral:tRNA from 1 species
GGAGAGGUGGCUGAGCGGUUGAAAGCACCGGUCUUGAAAACCGGCGAGGGGAGACCCUCCGUGGGUUCGAAUCCCACCCUCUCCG